rnacentral:rRNA from 1 species
AUUGAACGCUGGCGGCAUGCCUUACACAUGCAAGUCGAACGGUAGAGGGGGCAACCCCUCGAGAGUGGCGAACGGGUGAGUAAUGCAUCGGAACGUGCCCAGUAGUGGGGGAUAGCCCGGCGAAAGCCGGAUCAAUACCGCAUGAGACCUACUGGUGAAAGGGGGGGAUCGCAAGACCUUUCGCUAUUGGAGCGGCGGAUGACAGAUUAGGCAGUUGGUGGGGUAAAGGCCUACCAAGCCGACGAGCUGUAGCUGGUCUGAGAGGACGACCAGCCACACUGGGACUGAGAAACGGCCCAGACUCCUACGGGAGGCAGCAGUGGGGAAUUUUGGACAAUGGGCGAAAGCCUGAUCCAGCCAUGCCGCGUGCGGGAAGAAGGCCUUCGGGUUGUAAACCGCUUUUGUCAGGGAAGAAAUCCUUUGAGCUAAUACCUCGGGGGGAUGACGGUACCUGAAGAACAAGCACCGGCUAACUACGUGCCAGCCGCCGCGGUAA